GGACCGUGCUGUCCGCGCGUGACGUCGAGAAAGUCAACCUUAUUUACAACUGCGACUGCAAGAUAGUGAACACAACACACACUUACACUCGCAGAUAUUGGGGAGAGUGCACCUACCUCUUCGGUCUGAUUACCUGGCGCUGCAUCAAGGAGGAAGAGGUUAAUGAGAUUUGGAGCAAGAAGAAAUGCACAGACAGAACUCACAAAUGGAACUGUUUAGCUAUAGUUUACAAUGAGGACUUGGAAGAUGAUAAGAUGAUACGACCCCGUGAAUUGUGCCAAUUUAAACUUCUUUACUGAUUUAUUGACAGUCGAAAAAGUUAGUUUCCUGAUUUU